UGGGCUGGUCGAAAGACCCUGGUCCACCGAGCGGCGGGGAGAUUCCUC
rnacentral:sRNA from 12 species